rnacentral:rRNA from 1 species
UACGUAGGGUGCGAGCGUUAAUCGGAAUUACUGGGCGUAAAGCGUGCGCAGGCGGUGAAUCAAGUCAGAUGUGAAAUCCCCGGGCUUAACCUGGGAACUGCGUUUGAAACUGAUUCGCUAGAAUUUAGCAGAGGGGGGUAGAAUUCCACGUGUAGCAGUGAAAUGCGUAGAGAUGUGGAGGAAUACCAAUGGCGAAGGCAGCCCCCUGGGCUAGAAUUGACGCUCAUGCACGAAAGCGUGGGGAGCAAACAGG